rnacentral:lncRNA from 1 species
GGGUAAUCCAUAUGAUGAAUUUUGAAAAUUAAAAUACAAUGUGAAUGAUCAUAUCAAGGUUGAUAGUUAAACCCUAGGUCACCUUGAGUAUUUGGAUUAAAAAGAUGAAUUAUAUGGUAACCAUAUGCCAAUAGAUUCUUAAAUGAUGCUUUGCAAUCUUUCAACUUAUCUGGAUGUCGGGUAUCAUUGCUAGAUGGUCACUUUGAUUGGUAUAGGAAGAUUAUUCCUAUACUACCAAC